rnacentral:rRNA from 1 species
AGACCCGAAACCCGGUGAUCUAGCCAUGGGCAGGUUGAAGGUUGGGUAACACUAACUGGAGGACCGAACCGACUAAUGUUGAAAAAUUAGCGGAUGACCUGUGGCUGGGGGUGAAAGGCCAAUCAAACCGGGAGAUAGCUGGUUCUCCCCGAAAGCUAUUUAGGUAGCGCCUCGUGAAUUCAUCUCCGGGGGUAGAGCACUGUUUCGGCUAGGGGGCCAUCCCGGCUUACCAACCCGAUGCAAACUGCGAAUACCGGAGAAUGUUAUCACGGGAGACACACGGCGGGUGCUAACGUCCGUCGUGAAGAGGGAAACAACCCAGACCGCCAGCUAAGGUCCCAAAGUCAUGGUUAAGUGGGAAACGAUGUGGGAAGGCCCAGACAGCCAGGAUGUUGGCUUAGAAGCAGCCAUCAUUUAAAGAAAGCGUAAUAGCUCACUGGUCGAGUCGGCCUGCGCGGAAGAUGUAACGGGGCUAAACCAUGCACCGAAGCUGCGGCAGCGAACGUAUCACCCAAGACAACUUUACGGAGUUGACGAUUGACGGAGCGAAGCGACGUCAAAGCGUUCAUUAAAGUCGAGUUGGCUUAGGGAUACGUUCGUUGGGUAGGGGAGCGUUCUGUAAGCCUGUGAAGGUGUGUCGUGAGGCAUGCUGGAGGUAUCAGAAGUGCGAAUGCUGACAUAAGUAACGAUAAAGCGGGUGAAAAGCCCGCUCGCCGGAAGACCAAGGGUUCCUGUCCAACGUUAAUCGGGGCAGGGUGAGUCGACCCCUAAGGCGAGGCCGAAAGGCGUAGUCGAUGGGAAACGGGUUAAUAUUC